CAGUGGUCACCCAGCUGAAGAAAAAUCACUCUACCUACUUUUUCUAUGAGCAACCAAAAGUUGGACUACAGUCUCCUGACCUACGUAAGAGUUUCUGCUUUGUGUCAAAGAAUAAGUCAAGUUCUAAACUGUCUUCUCAUAUGUGAAAUCCAGUAUUUAGACUAUGAUAAAGCAGGUGUCAAGGAGAGUAGAAAAAAAAAUCUGCUGCAAUGAAUCUGUAAAAAAAAUAUCGCUUCCACCAAAUAUCUCUUCAGCAGAUGCUGACAAAUCCCUAUCUCUUGUCUCCCACUUGAAUGCUGCAGUGACAGAAAAUCUGUUAGGAAGACAAUUCAGAAGAGAGAUUAGAUUUCUUGCUGCUUCUAAAGAGUACUAGGAUCACCUGGAUUACUGUUAUAUGGAACCAAUGGUCCAGAAAAUGAGGAAUCUAACACAGAGUUCAUGAACAAACAUUAGUAAAACAAGAAAGGUCUUCAGAGAGCAGAGGAUUUCAUUAAAGAUCUGGGCUGAAAAUCCUUGAUGGAAAUGGAGACUAGGUGAAGACAACGUGCAAUUAUUUCCCCAUUUUGGGGAAGAGAGUGGAUAAAUGAAAGACAAUUCAUAAUAUAGGAAGAAAGGUAAGGUAAAGGAAAAUGGUUAAAUCAAAAUGAAAAAAUGCUCUCCUUAAAUAUUUAUGACUUAGACUGAUGAGACUCUUAUUCCUGAUAGACAGUUUGCAGACUAAUGGGAUUUUAAUUGUCCUUGAUGCAAUUAGGGGUGAUGUCUUUUGCUAAAUCCUGAGUUUCAGCCAUAGUUUAUGUAAGUUGUUCACAUUACUCAACUUACAAUGAUGUACUUGGCUUCAUUGUUUGUGGUCUGGUUCUCAUUUGUCUGGCAUUACACUGUAAGACUGCAGUGACUCAGAUUUCCUUUAGUUUUACAACAAAAAGCACUACCAUGUAUCGCAUGAGGCAUCCCAAGUUUAGUCACUGGUUUGCAGUCCUCUUAUGCAGGCUUUUCAGGCAGGUGUAUCCAAACACAUACCUCUGCAUUCAGAGGAUAAACAGAAAUUCCCUGCUUUAUUCUCACAAUAGUGACUUCUUCACCACAUAAACACUGACUUAUAUUUGAAUUUUUUUAUUUAAUUUGAAAAUUUUCAGUCCAGGAUGUUUCUGAGGAAUGAUUUAAUCGUAGUCCUUUAUUUCUACUAGAGAUUCAGAUCUAUGUUUUCCUUCUUAGAACAAUUUUGCAGUUUUUAAGGGAUGGAGGAGAAAGCUGUACUCAAAGCCUGCUAUGUAGGAGAAAAUAAGAAUUGCUCAUAAUCUGCUUGGCAGUGAUUCCAUCAAACCUUGCUUAACCUUUAUUUAGACAAAGCGCUGCUAAAGUUGAUUAAGUCUUUUACCUGGAGCAGAAAGGCAGGAGAGCUGGCCACUGUGUUGUUACUGUAUGUAUUUAAUCAUUAAAAAAAAAAAAAAUCUGCUAUACAUUUUAAUUGGUUUCAAGUCAGUAUUUUUGCUGUAAGCAAUAAAAACGGCUAUCCACAUGUUCACACUAAUACAGUGAAAUAGAUUAAAAAAUUUUAAUAGACUUUUGGAUGUGGCUUUUAUGUAUAUUCAGACAGCAGAAACAGUGGUGUAAACUUCAGCAUAUGCUAACCAAAGCAUGCACUCAGAUUCCUAGUCUAUAUUUCAACUGUUUCUGAUGCCUAUGGCAUUAUUAUCACUGGGUUCAGCUAAGACUAUUAAAAUUUAAAUUAUUAAAAUUAAACCAGA